rnacentral:lncRNA from 1 species
GGAGGGUGGAUUUGGUGCCUGCCCUCAAGGAGCUUGAAGUUCUACAGUUAAAGUCAAAAAAUCAUCCCUUGAAGACACAGAAAAUAAUACUUUGAGAUAAAUGCAGAUGGAAGAAGAACUGAAUCCAUUGAGCCAGGAAUGAGACAAGGCCCAGGCCACUGAUGCGGGGAUAUCUGGCUGGGCUUCUUACUCAUGAAGUGCCUGGCUGGAGUACUGAGUGAGAAGGAGCCUGGCGAGAGGCAGUGGCUGGGUGAGGUAGCACUGUUUCCUGCGUGCAGCCUUGUCUUUCCCAUCUAUUAGCAGAAUGGGAAAAUAUGUGUAGUGUUCAAUGAUGUCUUCCACAGAAUCAAACAUCUGAAACACAGAAAGAAGAGUGAGUGCCUCUGAGGACAUCUGCUGCCUGCAAGUCACGGCUAAGCUGUUGUAUGUUGCUCAGGGAAGGUGGACCGGUUUUGUAGUUUUGACAUUGUGGAGAGAUAUAUUAGAAGGUGUUAUUGGUGGU